rnacentral:lncRNA from 1 species
CUUUUUCUUUCUUUUUUUUUUUUUUUUUUGACAGGAUGGGCUGGGGUUGGGGGAGGAGGAAGCAAGACUUAAGCAGAGAAGGCAAGCUCCUUUCUGUUCAUCUAACUCAAACUCUUUCCAAGUGUGAACCCAGUGGAGACCUUUUCAAACUGUAGCCAUGAAGCAGGUUGCAUGAGGCAGACCCAUCUCCUGGCAACUGUUUCCAUAGAUACAGCCCAGUUUCGGUCUGCAUCCCUUACCUAGACCCAAGUGACCACCUGGUAAUUACUUCAACAGCAGAGCGACUCAUACAGCCAGCAAUCCACUUUGUUGUGAUCUGUAGAUCCUGCCUGUGGUGUUGGAUCUAACAGCUUCUUCCCUGACCCAAGAUUAUGAAGGAUUUCUCCUGUGUUCUCUUCUAAAAAUUUUACAUUUAGGUAUAUAAUCCAUUUUGAGCUAAUUCUUUUAAAUAGUGCAAAGUAUGGAUUGAAGUUCUUUUUUUUUUUUUUGCAGAUACAUAUUUAAUUUUUCCAGCACCAUUUGUUGAAAAGACUAAUGUUCUUGCCUGAAUAGCCUUUGCAUUGUUGUUGAAAAUCAUGUUCACACAUGUACACAUUCCACUGAACUAUUUGCCUCUUUGUGAAAAUACUACUAUUUUGAUUAAUAUAGAUUUAUAGGGAGUCUUAAAAUCAUAUCUUAAAAAGAUAGUGGAAGUUAUUUAACCUUACUCUUGUUUUUAGAAAUUGUUUUGGAUAAUCUAGAUCUUUUGCGUUUCCAUAUAAAUUUUAUAAUCAGUUUGGCAAUUUAUUUAAAAUAUUCUUCUGGGAUUUUGAUGGACAUUAUGCUGAAUCGAUGGAUCGCUUUGGGGAGAACUGACAUCUUAACAAUAUUGAGUCAUCUAACAUAUGAUCAUGGAAAUUGCUCCAGUUAUUUAGAUCUUUCACAUCUUGAAGCAGUGUUUUACAGUUUUCAGUGUAUAGAUAGUUAAUAGAUUUAAAAAUAUGAUCCCUAAAUAUUCAAUGUUUUUGAUGCUAUUGGAAUUUUAAAAAAUUAAUUUCUGUUCUGAGGAAGGAAAAUAAUAAAAGAUUAAACAAGAAAAAUAAAAGAAUCAAAAUAAAAGAUAAAUCAUUGACAAAUAUAAAAAAAUAACAAAAAUAA